rnacentral:rRNA from 1 species
AUUGAACGCUGGCGGCAUGCCUUACACAUGCAAGUCGAACGGCUGCAUAGGAGCUUGCUCCUGAUGGCGAGUGGCGAACGGGUGAGUAAUAUAUCGGAACGUGCCCUAGAGUGGGGGAUAACUAGUCGAAAGACUAGCUAAUACCGCAUACGAUCUACGGAUGAAAGUGGGGGAUCGCAAGACCUCAUGCUCCUGGAGCGGCCGAUAUCUGAUUAGCUAGUUGGUGGGGUAAAAGCCUACCAAGGCAACGAUCAGUAGCUGGUUUGAGGGGACGACAAGCCACACGGGGACUGAGACACGGCCAAGACUCCUACGGGGGGCAGCAGUGGGGAAUUUUGGACAAUGGGGGCAACCCCGAUCCAGCAAUGCCGCGUGAGUGAAGAAGGCCUUCGGGUUGUAAAGCUCUUUUGUCAGGGAAGAAACGGUAGUAGCGAAUAACUACUACUAAUGACGGUACCUGAAGAAUAAGCGCCGGCUAACUACGUGCCAGCAGCCGCAGUAA